rnacentral:rRNA from 1 species
GAUGAACGCUGGCGGCGUGCCUAAUACAUGCAAGUCGAGCGAACAGACGAGGAGCUUGCUCCUUUGACGUUAGCGGCGGACGGGUGAGUAACACGUGGGUAACCUACCUAUAAGACUGGGAUAACUUCGGGAAACCGGAGCUAAUACCGGAUAAUAUUUCGAACCGCAUGGUUCGAUAGUGAAAGAUGGCUUUGCUAUCACUUAUAGAUGGACCUGCGCCGUAUUAGCUAGUUGGUAAGGUAACGGCUUACCAAGGCAACGAUACGUAGCCGACCUGAGAGGGUGAUCGGCCACACUGGAACUGAGACACGGUCCAGACUCCUACGGGAGGCAGCAGUAGGGAAUCUUCCGCAAUGGGCGAAAGCCUGACGGAGCAACGCCGCGUGAGUGAUGAAGGUCUUCGGAUCGUAAAACUCUGUUAUGAGGGAAGAACAAACGUGUAAGUAACUGUGCACGUCUUGACGGUACCUAAACAGAAAGCCACGGCUAACUACGU